UCGAGGAUCUUCGGCAAUGGGCGCAAGCCUGACCGAGCGACGCCGCGUGUGCGAAGAAGGCCUUCGGGUUGUAAAGCACUGUCGAGAGGAAGAAAGGCCGCAAGGCUUGAUCGACCUCUGGAGGAAGCACGGGCUAAGUUCGUGCCAGCAGCCGCGGUAAGACGAACCGUGCGAACGUUGUUCGGAUUCACUGGGCUUAAAGGGCGCGUAGGCGGAGGACCAAGUCGGUGGUGAAAUCGUUCGGCUCAACCGGACAAUCGCCUUCGAUACUGGUUCUCUCGAGGGGGGUAGGGGCAUGCGGAACUUCGGGUGGAGCGGUGAAAUGCGUAGAUAUCCGAAGGAACGCCGGUGGCGAAAGCGGCGUGCUGGACCCUUUCUGACGCUGAGGCGCGAAAGCCAGGGGAGCAAACGGGAUUAGAUACCCCCGUAGUCC
rnacentral:rRNA from 1 species